rnacentral:rRNA from 1 species
UACGUAGGGGGCAAGCGUUAUCCGGAAUCAUUGGGCGUAAAGCGUGCGUAGGCGGUCUGCAAGGUCAGAGGUGAAAGGCUGGGGCUCAACCCCAGUUAGCCUUUGAAACCGGCGGACUUGAGUGCAGGAGGGGAAAGUGGAAUUUCUAGUGUAGCGGUGGAAUGCGUAGAUAUUAGAAGGAACACCAGUGGCGAAGGCGACUUUCUGGACUGUAACUGACGCUGAGGUACGAAAGCGUGGGGAGCGAACAGG